rnacentral:piRNA from 1 species
AACAGCCCAGCCUUAGAGCGCUU